CCUAAUACAUGCAAGUCGAGCGGACAGAUGGGAGCUUGCUCCCUGAUGUUAGCGGCGGACGGGUGAGUAACACGUGGGUAACCUGCCUGUAAGACUGGGAUAACUCCGGGAAACCGGGGCUAAUACCGGAUGGUUGUUUGAACCGCAUGGUUCAGACAUAAAAGGUGGCUUCGGCUACCACUUACAGAUGGACCCGCGGCGCAUUAGCUAGUUGGUGAGGUAACGGCUCACCAAGGCGACGAUGCGUAGCCGACCUGAGAGGGUGAUCGGCCACACUGGGACUGAGACACGGCCCAGACUCCUACGGGAGGCAGCAGUAGGGAAUCUUCCGCAAUGGACGAAAGUCUGACGGAGCAACGCCGCGUGAGUGAUGAAGGUUUUCGGAUCGUAAAGCUCUGUUGUUAGGGAAGAACAAGUGCCGUUCAAAUAGGGCGGCACCUUGACGGUACCUAACCAGAAAGCCACGGCUAACUACGUGCCAGCAGCCGCGGUAAUACGUAGGUGGCAAGCGUUGUCCGGAAUUAUUGGGCGUAAAGGGCUCGCAGGCGGUUUCUUAAGUCUGAUGUGAAAGCCCCCGGCUCAACCGGGGAGGGUCAUUGGAAACUGGGGAACUUGAGUGCAGAAGAGGAGAGUGGAAUUCCACGUGUAGCGGUGAAAUGCGUAGAGAUGUGGAGGAACACCAGUGGCGAAGGCGACUCUCUGGUCUGUAACUGACGCUGAGGAGCGAAAGCGUGGGGAGCGAACAGGAUUAGAUACCCUGGUAGUCCACGCCGUAAACGAUGAGUGCUAAGUGUUAGGGGGUUUCCGCCCCUUAGUGCUGCAGCUAACGCAUUAAGCACUCCGCCUGGGGAGUACGGUCGCAAGACUGAAACUCAAAGGAAUUGACGGGGGCCCGCACAAGCGGUGGAGCAUGUGGUUUAUUUCGAAGCAACGCGAAGAACCUUACCAGGUCUUGACAUCCUCUGACAUCCUAGAGAUAGGACGUCC
rnacentral:rRNA from 1 species